rnacentral:rRNA from 1 species
GAAGGUGAAGUCGUAACAAGGUUUCCGUAGGUGAACCUGCGGAAGGAUCAUUACCACACCUAAAAAACUUUCCACGUGAACCGUAUCAACAAGUAGUUGGGGGCCUGCUCUGUGUGGCUGGCUGUCGAUGUCAAAGUCGGCGGCUGGCUGCUAUGUGGCGGGCUCUAUCAUGGCGAUUGGUUUGGGUCCUCCUCGUGGGGAACUGGAUCAUGAGCCCACUUUUUAAACCCAUUCUUGAUUACUGAAUAUACUGUGGGGACSAAAGUCUCUGCUUUUAACUASAUAGCAACUUUCAGCAGUGGAUGUCUAGGCUCGCACAUCGAUGAASAACGCUGCGAACUGCGAUACGUAAUGCGAAUUGCAGGAUUCAGUGAGUCAUCGAAAUUUUGAACGCAUAUUGCACUUCCGGGUUAGUCCUGGGAGUAUGCCUGUAUCAGUGUCCGUACAUCAAACUUGGCUCUCUUCCUUCCGUGUAGUCGGUGGAUGGAGACGCCASACGUGGGGUGUCUUGCGGCGCGGCCUUCGGGCUGCCUGCGAGUCCCUUGAAAUGUACUAAACUGUACUUCUCUUUGCUCGAAAAGCGUGACGUUGUUGGUUGUGGAGGCUGCCUGUAUGGCCAGUCGGCGACCAGUUUGUCUGCUGCGGCGUUUAAUGGAGGAGUGUUCGAUUCGCGGUAUGGUUGGCUUCGGCUGAACAAUGCGCUUAUUGSAUGCUUUUCCUGCUGUGGCGGUAUGGGCUGGUGAACCGUAGCUGUGCGAGGCUUGGCUUUUGAACCGGCGGUGUUGUUGCGAAGUAGGGUGGCGGCUUCGGCUGUCGAGAGUCGAUCCAUUUGGGAACUCUGUGUUGUCUCUGCGGCUUGCUGCGGAGGUGGCAUCUCAAUUGGACCUGAUAUCAGGCAAGAUUACCCGCUGAACUUAAGCAUAUCAAUAAGCGGAGGA